CUUCUCACCUGUCAUGUGAGACAUGGUGGAGCAAGGAGAGGGGAAGAGAGCUCCAGAGAGGCAGCAUGUACUACAGAGAGGUGUGGUGUCCUCUUCACUGAUGCAACCCGAAGGAGAUAACAUCUCAGAGUAGGUGUGACUUCACUGACAGGAAAGCUCAUUUAUUUCUUCAGAUCUCUCCACCAACUAAUUAGAGAAACAACCCUGAGAGGUAUCAUGGCUCUCAGCAAUGUGUUACAGCCAUGUAAAUUCGCUUUGACAUUCAGACAGCCUCGAUUUCUCCCUUCCUGCAAGAGGAGUCGGUGAACUGGAGAAGAGGAACUUGUUUACGUUCUGCAGCUGUGGCAGUGAAGCAGCAUGAGCCUCCUGCUGCAGCAGCGAGUGCUUUGUGAUUUCAUUUCAUGUCUGGAGGAACGGCAGGCUGGUUCAGGUAGCGGCAGGCAGGGAAGCUGAAUUCUGGCUUUGGAAAAGAUGAUCCUGCAGAGUGUGUGUGUGUGUCAUUUGAAGCCUAAACCUGUGUCUUCCAGUCCCAGGAGACUCUGCUGCUUCCCUUUGAAACGGGCCAAGCAGUGUAUGAACUGGUUUCCCCAGUAGCCAUCUGAACUGUGGUGAUGAAAACUCAAAGCUCCUAGCUGAGCACAAGAGGGGAUGCCUGUAAUUGCACAUAAUCACAUUAAAUGAAGUAAAACCCUUU